CAUCAUAUGGUCUUCAUUUGACCUUUGAGAGGUCACAACUAGAUCUUUGCUGUGGCAAAUGUGUUAACUUGCAAUCUAAGACUUCAUUGUCUCACUGGCUGACUGACAUUCAAGUUGCCGGGGCCAAGAGAACAACAAUCUUGGAAGUCGACUGUAGCAGUGACACCAAUUGACUUGCAUGACAUCAAACAGAAAGGAAAUUCUUUUCAUAUUGAUAAGUGCCUCCCCAACUCUGCAACUACAUGCACUUCACUUGCAGUUUUUCGAGACCAACAUUGAACGUCUUUUCUUGAGGACCUCCAAUUGUGUGCUCAUUCUUUUCACUUUUACCUGCAGAAUUGCAAUAUUUUCAUCUAGUUCAGCAAUAGCAGGGUCUCAGGUACGUCCACCAUUCCAGCAACCUUAUUUAAAAAGUGUUUGGUAUUGGAGCAUUUUCCGUUGAUUACUACUUAUUGUGGAGGAUGAAUAUAUAUAUACGAUGUUAAAAAGGAACAUGGCUACUCACCACAUCAUAUGGCAUUGUAUCCAUUUGUCGCCUAAAGUCUGUUUAGUAAGAGAUCAUUUCUGUGAUGAAAGCGCACUGUGGGCAAAACACAUUUGAUACGAGUAAUCAAUGGGCAGGGGCAUUCAUGGCAGAUGUAAGCACUCAGAUUCAGGUUCCUUAUCUUCUCACAAAGGUCACAAUAGUACUCACUGGUAUCAUCUUUGGUGAAUGAAUCGUAAAGAGUGAAUUGAUGAAAGUUAAUGGCAAUCUUUUACUGUGGUGGAAGGCAAUCUGUGAUGAUUAAGAUUGCACUGCACAAAACCAUUGAAGUCAAACCUGCAAAAUUUACUAGAGACACUGCUUAGGAAAUACAGUUCAUUAGAUAUAAAAUAAGAAAGAGUAUAUGCCCGUGGAGGUGUUGUUUCAAAGUGUGCCUUUCAAAAGUGCAUGAAAUGUUGAAGUCAUAGUCACAUUCCAUGCAGUGAAAGAUAGAGAGCCGACACUCUACGACAUAUUUCAACAGUGCUCCUUCCUAAUAUGAGAAGAAAAAAGGAUGUGUGAGGUGAACAGGUUCUUGCAUGACUGAGGGCAAUUCAGCACAUGAUUAAUGGAGCAUAAGAGCAGCUUUGCUUCCACCAGCAAUAGGCUAAACAUUUGACGCUUUAUCACAAGCCUUGCAUGGACCAUCCCUCAUAUGACAGUUCCAGCAGCAGACGACUAUAGACCUCACCUGGUAUGUUCUGUUCACAAGCUUUGCACCUGAUUCUGCUUUCGAGUUUCGUGUGGACGACCAGUGGAUGCUGAUGGUCACAAUUGUAAAAGACCAAGUCCUUCUUGCCCUUCAGGUCUUGCAAACAUAGAGUUCAAGCCAUGCAGUCCAUGUCAAGGCUGAAUUUGCAUUCAUUGCAGUAGGAAACCAUGGCAGACGUUAUGUUUAGCUCCUCAAAUUUAUUGAAGAGAGACGGUAAUUAUGGAGAGAAGCAGGAGAGACAGGGUUAUUAUGGAGAGACAGGUGUUGCAUCUCUGGGGGAGAUUCGAUGCAGCUUUUGUGGAGAAAGAAUAUGCAAGCAUAGCAUCCAUAGGCCUCCCCCAAGAUUGCCUACUCGCAGGCUUUGCAUUUGAUUCUAUUUUUCAUCCCGAGAUGAUGGGAUGUGAGUAGAUGCUCAUGAGCAUUUUUUGAAUGGCCACGUUCGGAGAAUCCUCAUUAGGAGGACAAGCAAUCUUGGGCCGUGCAGUAACAAUUGAUGGAUCCAACUGGCAAGAGAAGGUUUUCAUAUAUAAAUGCAAAAUACUGAUUGGAAUGUAUAUAUCACUAGACUGUUGCAGGGUUUGGUUGCCCAAAAUCGAAUUGGCUUCACCAAAACUCCUCUUCUCUAGAAGCCUGGCCGGCAAAGUGUCCCACUGGCAGUAGAGUGCUCAACUUCGCCUUGCUUUUGUGACAUGCAUUCCAUAGUCAAGGAAUCUUUGACCAUAUGCAAUGGUUUUGCUCAUUUAUCCAUAUGAACAAGGAUAAAUAGAUGCCUUGGAGACAUGAGCACAGCUGCAAUGUCAGAGCCUUGUUCUAUUGCCAUAGAUCUAGCAGAAUCAAAAUGAACAAUGUCAGUCUUUUCAUCUCUGUCCCGUAUGCACGGGUACUGCUUACUAGCUAUUCUGAUGAUGACAUUGUUUGAGUUUGUAACUGCAGAAUGACAGAGUGGUUACGUCAUAUAGUCAGCAUUUUACCUCCAAGAGGUGACAACUAGAUCUUUGUUGCAGCAAAUGCGUUAAC